rnacentral:pre_miRNA from 1 species
ACUUGAGCGGUUCGUGCAAAACUAUUUGUUUGGUGUUUUGUUCGCUCGGCUCGAGUUA